CGGGAUAUAACUCCAUCACCUAAAACGACAUCGUUUGAUACUUUUCGACUACUAUACAACUCGACCGACCGGUGCCUUUAUUUUCUUAGAAAUCAAACAGACAAGCUAGCAAAACCCAUUAAAGAAAUGAAAUUUCCGAGACAGGUCCGGAUAGAGAAAUCAGAUUUUACGACGUCGUAUGGCAGAGUUAUCCUCUUCAAUUUUAAUAAAAAGAUUGGAUUUUAAGCUCUCAAGAGGCAAUUUCAAGUCAUCUCUCACCUCAUGCAAAUGCAAGGCAAACCUGGUGGCCUCAGUGAAUUUGGAGCUGCCAAAAAAGAGGAUUUGUGGCAGAGCACCUGGUUUUUGGAAGCUCAGAAGGCCUUCAUUCUGAAGUUGCGAAGGUUAGGCUGGAUUCUUUAUUACUAUUUUGCAAUUAUGCAACAGCUUGGUAGAGCAGUGAAAUGGUUGGCCCUCUCAGAGAGGGAAGCAAACUUUCACCCUAAACACUGUCUUUAUCUUGAAUCGUCAUCUCGAAGCUAGAUCCCGAUUUGUAUAGGCUAUGACACGGGAAGCUGGCUUCUGUAAUGAUGAGAAUGCCAUGGAUGGAAAGGAAGUUCUAGGCAAGUUGCCUCGAUCCCAUUAAUUUUGCAUUUGCAUUUCUGUAAAA